CCUACCUAACUGGGUUAGGGCCCUGGCUCCAUCUCCUUUAGGAAAAUCUUCUGUGGGGAGUGGGGCUUUGACCCUAACCCAGCUGGGCUGU
rnacentral:pre_miRNA from 1 species